GACAGAGGUGCCGAGCGUUAGGCGGAAUCACUGGGCUUAAAGCGUGUGUAGGCGGAUCUGUAAGUACCUUGUGAAAUCCCACGGCUCAACCGUGGAACUGCUUGGUAUACUGCGGGUCUUGAGCCACCUAGGGGCAAGUGGAACAAACGGUGGAGCGGUGAAAUGCGUAGAGAUGCGGAGGAACACCGAUGGCGAAGGCAGCCCCCUGGGCUAACACUGACGCUCAGGCACGAAAGCGUGGGGAGCAAACAGG
rnacentral:rRNA from 1 species